AACGAACGCUGGCGGCAUGCCUAACACAUGCAAGUCGAACGAGACCUUCGGGUCUAGUGGCGCACGGGUGCGUAACGCGGGGGAACCUGCCCUUAGGUUCGGAAUAACUCCCCGAAAGGGGUGCUAAGACCGGAUAAUGUCUUCGGACCAAAGAUUUAUCGCCUUUGGAUGGGCCCGCGUUGGAUUAGCUAGUUGGUAGGGUAAAAGCCUACCAAGGCGACGAUCCAUAGCUGGUCUGAGAGGAUGAUCAGCCACACUGGGAAUGCGACCCGGCCCAGUCUCCUACGGGAGGCAGCAGUGGGGUAUAUUGGACGAUGGGCGCAAGUCUGAUCCAGCCAUGCCGCGUGAGUGAUGAAGGGCUUAGGGUUGUAAAGCUCUUUUACACGGGAUGAUAAUGACAGUACCGGGAGAAUAAGCUCCGGCUAACUACGUG
rnacentral:rRNA from 1 species